GGAACGUACCUUUUGGUUCGGAACAACACAGGGAAACUUGUGCUAAUACCGGAUAAGCCCUUACGGGGAAAGAUUUAUCGCCGAAAGAUCGGCCCGCGUCUGAUUAGCUAGUUGGUGAGGUAAUGGCUCACCAAGGCGACGAUCAGUAGCUGGUCUGAGAGGAUGAUCAGCCACAUUGGGACUGAGACACGGCCCAAACUCCUACGGGAGGCAGCAGUGGGGAAUAUUGGACAAUGGGGGCAACCCUGAUCCAGCCAUGCCGCGUGAGUGAUGAAGGCCCUAGGGUUGUAAAGCUCUUUUGUGCGGGAAGAUAAUGACGGUACCGCAAGAAUAAGCCCCGGCUAACUUCGUGCCAGCAGCCGCGGUAAUACGAAGGGGGCUAGCGUUGCUCGGAAUCACUGGGCGUAAAGGGUGCGUAGGCGGGUCUUUAAGUCAGGGGUGAAAUCCUGGAGCUCAACUCCAGAACUGCCUUUGAUACUGAGGAUCUUGA
rnacentral:rRNA from 1 species